rnacentral:rRNA from 1 species
AUUGAACGCUGGCGGCAGGCCUAACACAUGCAAGUCGAGCGGAGGAAGGGAGCUUGCUCCUGGAUUCAGCGGCGGACGGGUGAGGAAUGCCUAGGAAUCUGCCUGGUUGUGGGGGAUAACGGCCGGAAACGGGCGCUAAUACCGCAUACGUCCUGAGGGAGAAAGUGGGGGAUCUUCGGACCUCACGCUAUCAGAUGAGCCUAGGGCGGAUUAGCUAGUUGGUGGGGUAAAGGCCUACCAAGGCGACGAUCCGUAACUGGUCUGAGAGGAUGAUCAGUCACCCUGGAACUGAGACACGGUCCAGACUACUACGGGAGGCAGCAGUGGGGAAUAUUGGACAAUGGGCGAAAGCCUGCUCCAGCCAUGCCGCGUGUGUGAAGAAGGUCUUCGGAUUGUAAAGCACUUUAAGUUGGGAGGAAGGGCAGUAAGUUAAUACCUUGCUGUUUUGACGUUACCAACAGAAUAAGCACCGGCUAACUUCGUG